rnacentral:lncRNA from 1 species
AGCUGGUGGCCCGGGUGCUAAGCCCCUCACUAUCCGGGUGGCGGCGCUGGCUGUCAGCUCCGAGUGCGGGGCCCACCAAGCCCGCGCCCACCUGGAACUCACGCUGGUCCGUGAGCGCCACUCACAGCCCCAGUUCCCUCCCACACCUCUCCCUCCACACCUCCCUGCAAGCCAGCCCAGAGAGGGGGUCCCACAGUGCAGUGGCGGGCUGAAGGGAUGGAUCCUCAAGCCCCGCCAGAGUGAACGCUGAGGCUGAGGAGGCACUGAGAGCACGUGGUCACCUCUCACCAAUGUGCUACUGAACUGGACUCAGCCAAUCAGAUGCUCCCAACGGGAAGUGAGCAGAGACGAAUGGUUCAAAGCUUGGAGAGAGAAGGCGGCAGCAACACCCACCUGCAGCUGUCACACCUACCUGCAGAAUUCGCCUUAUACCUUAGAGAAAGCCUGCAGUCAGUGGCAGCUGACGGGAAACGCAUCUGUUCCUUUGAGUAUUCAGCAAUAUCAUUACUUCUCAGGUAUGUGCUGAGGGUGGAGCAAACUAGAAAUUGCUGAUGAAAUUCACUGCGUAGGCUGGGCGCAGUGGCUUAAGCCUGUAAUCCCAGCACUUUGGGAGGCCGAGACGGGCGGAUGACGAGCUCAGGAGAUCGAGACCAUCCUGGCUAACACGGUGAAACCCCGUCUCUGCUGAAAAAUACAAAAAACUAGCCAGGCGAGGUGGCGAGCGCCUGUAGUCCCAGCUACUCGGGAGGCUGAGGCAAGAGAAUGGCGGGAACCCAGGAGGCGGAGCUUGCAGUGAGCUGAGAUUGUGCCACUGCACUCCAGCCUGGGCCACAGAGCGAGACUCCGUCUCAAAAAAAAAAAAAAAAAAAAAAAAAAAAAGAAAUUCACUGCGUAGAAGCCGAGCUCAUGGGUUCUGCCACUUAUUAUCUUUGUGAUUUUGGGCAAAGUGUCUCUUAGUGCCUCUGUUUCCUCCUCUGGAAAAAGAGGUGCUGAUGAUAAUAGUACCUACUUCGUAGGGUGCUUUUGAAUGUUAAAUGGGCUAAUACCUGUGAAGCACUCUCCAUGGAACCCAGCAAGUAACAUGUGCUGAGGACGGGCUCGCCAUUGCCAUUAUAAUGUGUAUCCCUCAGUUGGCCAGUGGGGAACUUCCAGACCUUACAGCCUGGUAUGGGCUGAACUGUGUCUCCCCCUACAAAUUCUUAUAUUGAAAGCUUAAUCUCCAG